rnacentral:rRNA from 1 species
AAACAAUUAGCUGUUAUCCCCUAAGUAACUUGAUUAAAUAAUCUCCUUUAGAGGAUCAAAUUGCAUCAAUCUUUUUAAAAACUUCCUACUUAAUGAAGUUUAAAUUUUUCAUUAACCGCCCCAGUUGAACUAAUUAGUCAUUAUAAUGAAACUAUACCAGUAAAGAUUUAAGGGGUCUUCUCGUCCUGCAAUAAAAUCUUUUCUUUUUCAAAAAGAUAUUAAGUUCAAAUUUUAAACAAACCGAGACAAACUUAAGUUCAUUAACCCUAUCAUGCCAUUUUACAAUUAAUAAACUAAUUAUUAUGCUACCUUUGCAA